UACAUGCAAGUCGAGGGGUAGAAGAGGCUUGCUUCUUUGAGACCGGCGCACGGGUGCGUAACGCGUAUGCAACCUACCUUCAUCUGGGGGAUAGCCCGGAGAAAUCCGGAUUAACACCGCAUAAAAUCACAGUACUGCAUAGUACAAUGAUCAAAUAUUUAUAGGAUGGAGAUGGGCAUGCGUGUCAUUAGCUAGUUGGCGGGGUAACGGCCCACCAAGGCGACGAUGACUAGGGGAUCUGAGAGGAUGGCCCCCCACACUGGUACUGAGACACGGACCAGACUCCUACGGGAGGCAGCAGUAAGGAAUAUUGGUCAAUGGAGGCAACUCUGAACCAGCCAUGCCGCGUGCAGGAAGACUGCCCUAUGGGUUGUAAACUGCUUUUAUUCGGGAAUAAACCUAUUUACGUGUAAAUAGCUGAAUGUACCGAAGGAAUAAGGAUCGGCUAACUCCGUGCCAGCAGCCGCGGUAAUACGGAGGAUCCAAGCGUUAUCCGGAUUUAUUGGGUUUAAAGGGUGCGUAGGCGGCCUGUUAAGUCAGGGGUGAAAGACGGUAGCUCAACUAUCGCAGUGCCCUUGAUACUGAUGGGCUUGAAUGGACUAGAGGUAGGCGGAAUGAGACAAGUAGCGGUGAAAUGCAUAGAUAUGUCUCAGAACACCGAUUGCGAAGGCAGCUUACUAUGGUCUUAUUGACGCUGAGGCACGAAAGCGUGGGGAUCAAACAGGAUUAGAUACCCUGGUAGUCCACGCCCUAAACGAUGAACACUCGCUGUUGGCGAUACACAGUCAGCGGCUAAGCGAAAGCGUUAAGUGUUCCACCUGGGGAGUACGCUCGCAAGAGUGAAACUCAAAGGAAUUGACGGGGGCCCGCACAAGCGGAGGAGCAUGUGGUUUAAUUCGAUGAUACGCGAGGAACCUUACYCGGGCUUGAAAGUUAGUGAAUGAUCUAG
rnacentral:rRNA from 1 species